rnacentral:lncRNA from 1 species
GGAGCCACCGGAGGCUGUAGUUGCCGGGGAGUCCCGCAUUCAGUCCGCUCAGCCUCUGGGCCGGGCCUCGGCGGCCCCCAGAGCCCCACACCCGCAGGCCCAGGGCCUCCGCGGCAGCGCGGGACUCUCACUCCGCUCUCUCUCCCGCCCGGGGCUUCCACCGCAACUUCUGUGGGCGUCGCAUCGCACGCGUGUUCAAGGACACCCAGGAAAAGGCUUCUUAGGGUCCCAUCCUGGGGCGCUAAAUGGGAACCAGUCAACCCACCCCCAAGCCUACCCUGUCUCCUUGCAAUCAAAUGCAAUCACGAGCAAACCACCUUGCUUCCGAAAGCUUCUCAGGCCUUCCCGGGCGACUGCGCUGUAAGUCUUAAACGUCUCUUAAAGCAAAGUCCACAGAUGGAAGAGUCUGGAAAAAAACCCAGCGGGCCGUUCCCUGGUGACUUUCUGAGUGGUGGGGUUCCAGGAAUUUUUUUUUCAUUUUCUUUAAAAAUAUUAUUUGUAAUUUCCACGUUUUUUCUAAUGAACCAUAAGUUGAUUUUUUAAUUAAAAAGUAGAGUACUCUAAAAUUAUUAAGUACCUACAGAAGUUUCGCUACACGAUCCUGCAAUGUUAGUGGCUUCUUCUCCUCCUUAUCUCCCUUUUUUUUUUUUUUUUUUUAAUUUUAAAAGAGAACAGAGACUCUCAAUUUCUGGGGCGGGACCAGGCUCCUUCCCCCGGCUUUUUAGUGCCCGCCCUCUUGGCCACACCCCACUCCGGCCUUUUUACUCCCGUACCGCCCUCUUCCCGGUGGGUUGCUGCGAAAACCCGGAAAGGUGGACUUUCCACAUUGACGCUCCCGGCGGCUCCGGCAGCCAGACUGGGCAUGUUCCGCCGCCGGGUCAGGCAUUGCUGUGCCAAGAGAGGAGCUUUAGCAACUCUCAGUCUCUCUGCUCCUCUCUGUUCCUGGCAAACUGGCAAAGUAGUGCCUCUGACCCCACGCCCCGAGGUCGGACCUGCAGAAGUGGGUCAGGACCCGACUGAGCAUGCUCCGGGCAGUGCCAGGCUGCCGCACGCGGCUGCAUCUGGUUGCCCAAGGUUGAUGUAGCCGCGGUCUCUCGUCACGACAUCGAAGCUCGGGAAACGGAUGGAAGCAGGGCUCUAGAGAGGCACGAUUGCAUCGACACGUGGGCAGGUCGCCCAUGCCAAGGGCCAUGUUGGUGGGUGGGUGCGUGGGAUCUGUCGUAUGAGUGAGUCAAAGCCUGAUUUUUUCCCCCAAAAAGAUUGAAAUGAGAUAUCAUAUUUUAACAUUAGUUUUAUGGCAUCUUGAAUAGCAACACAUUUUAGCUCAAGGAAUUUUUCAGCUGUCCUUUUGAGAAACGUAAAUUUUCUUUGUUUUUAAGUAUUUAAUAAGCAUUCUUUACAAUUGCACCACAGCGCGAACUUUCCACCUGCUUUAUUAAUUAUGACAUUUGUGUCCCCACUAUUAAAAUAUUCCGCAGUAUUAUAUCCCGUUUUCUUCUCCAGCAUUUCUGCAUUCACUCUGACUCUAUUUCCUCCCCUCCCCCAUCUCUUUUAAAUUCUCAGACAACCUGCAAAAUGCACUCUUGCUAUCUUAGAAACCACUUGAGGUCGGUGUGGGGAACUUGCUUUUAAUUCUCAUUUAGAGAAGACAGUACUGAAAUGGAGAAAAGUCACAGGGAAAGUACUUUUACAGAUUGUAGAUUAGUAAAGAACCCAAAGAGAGCCUUUCAUUGAGAGCAGAAAGGCGAAUGGAAUUCGCUGUUUUCUGUCUAAGGAGGAGGAGGAUGGGCAGGCAGGUCAGCUGCCCAGUGGGGCUUGGUGUGAUAGUGGGAGUCACCCUUCAUUUGAACCUCUCUGCCUUGCCCAGCUCCAGUUCAGCUUCAGCGUGGUCAGAGACACUAUCUCUAUGGAAGGUCACUCCUGGAAGAAUACAUUUACUUAGCUGCUUCCACCAUGGAAUCCUAGCUUGUGCUGGAGUGUCCCCUUCAUCCUCCUCCUGUGCUUUGAGAAUCCAUUGUUGCUGGUAUGCCCUGAGCAGUGCCCUUGAACUUGCCCAGGUACCCCUUGACAUCCACACCACAAAUAGUCUAGCCUUACAAAGGUGGACAAGAUGUCUUUUCAACAGUCUGUACUGCCACUUCCAUCCAUCUGAAGCUUUCUGUUCCUGAGUCUGUCAUGACAUUAAUCUUUCAAAAAUCUUUCACAGAGAUUUUUAGUCUCUACUAAAAAUACAAAACAAUUAGCCAGGCAUAGUGGUGUGUGCCUGUAGUCCCAGCUACUUGGGAGGCUGAGGCAAGAGAAGCGCUUGAAUCUGGGAGGCAGACGUUGUAGUGAGCAGAGAUUGCGCCACUGCACUUCAGCCUGAGCAACAGAGUCAGACUCCAUCUCAAAAAUAAUAAAUAUAUAUAUAUACACACACACACACACAAAUAGUAUGGAUAAAGGGAAGACGCUGACCUAUCAGAACAACUGCCUGAUCAACCAGAAAGGAUUCCAGAAAUGAACACCUCGCAUGGCCAUGUGAGAACAUACCAGCUAACACCCCUUUGACAGCGGCAAUCAUCAGAGAGGAUGACAGCUCUCAGGAAGAAGAGACCACAGAACACCUACAAUGGGGCGGUGCAAAGGAUGAGAAUCUGGAGGAGGAGGAUGAGAAGAAACAGGAUGACCUGCAAUUGCUCUUCUGCUUGUAUUUACUAGCUUGGUUAGCGGGUACCCGUAUCUUCUCAGUCACUUACAUGAUGAAUCUGGGCGUUACCCUAGAUUCAUUCAUCUGCCUUUCCCGUGUCAUCCAGCUGGUCUCCUGGCAUUAUCUAUCCUGUCCUUAUUCAUUUCUGAACACCUCCCUUCCUUGCCUCAUUGCCUGUCUUACUCCAGUCCCCAUCAUCUUCCUGAUCAACCACAGAGCAACAGACUCCUAGAUGGAUCCUCUCUCUGUGUCCCCUCCAAUCCAUCCUCCAUAGCUCCUCAGACUUUUCUUUUUAAGCCAAUUGUAUUACAAUAUGUCUGCUAAAGAUCCUUAAGUGAAUUCAUAAUGCCUUCAGGAUAAGGUCCAAACUUUAAGCAUGAACUGGCUGCUGCCUUCCUUUCCAGAUUAGUCUCCAGCCUGUGUCCCCUAAUAUCCCAUAUCCUCACCAGUCCAAAUUACCUGCCGUGUGAAUUCACACCUCCAUAUAUCUGUUAGUUCUUUUGUCUCUCUUUCUCCUUUCUUCACCUGACAAACUGUUGAGCCUUGGAGAUCCAGUUCAGGCAGGAUGUCCUCUGAUCUUCCCAAGGUGAAUGCCUCUUGAGUACUUCACCUGUUUUCAUUUGACACCUAACCUUGAUUGAUUUUUCUUUCAUCUCCUCCGCUACACUGUAGGCAACCUGAUCGCAAGGGCUGUGUCUCAGCCAUCUUUGUGUCUUCGUUCUUAGUCUUCAAUAGAAUUUUACUUAAUAAAUAAAUACUUAACAUAUGGACUGAUAUAAUGU